CCUACGGGUGGCAGCAGUAGGGAAUCUUCCACAAUGGGCGCAAGCCUGAUGGAGCAACACCGCGUGAGUGAAGAAGGGUUUCGGCUCGUAAAGCUCUGUUGUUGGAGAAGAACGUGCGUGAGAGUAACUGUUCACGCAGUGACGGUAUCCAACCAGAAAGUCAAGGCUAACUACGUGCCAGCAGCCGCGGUAAUACGUAGGUGGCAAGCGUUAUCCGGAUUUAGUGGGCGUAAAGCGAGCGCAGGCGGUUGCUUAGGUAUGAUGUGAAAGCCUUCGGCUUAACCGAAGAAGUGCAUCGGAAACCGGGCAACUUGAGUGCAGAAGAGGACAGUGGAACUCCAUGUGUAGCGGUGGAAUGCGUAGAUAUAUGGAAGAACACCAGUGGCGAAGGCGGCUGUCUGGUCUGCAACUGACGCUGAGGCUCGAAAGCAUGGGUAGCGAACAGGAUUAGAUACCCCUGUAGUC
rnacentral:rRNA from 1 species